rnacentral:rRNA from 1 species
GUCCACGGCCACACCACCCUGAACGAGCCCGGUCUCGUCUGAUCUCGGAAGCUAAGCAGGGUCGGGGCUGGUUAGUACUUGGAUGGGAUUCCGCCUGGGAAUACCGGGCUGUAGGCU